rnacentral:lncRNA from 1 species
ACCUGCUCCUCCACCCACUCACACCCUCUCUGAGGCCAGCUGGGAACCGACAGGUCAGAGGCACUGUGGGAAAGCAAGGAGAGCUUGCAGUGAAAAGAAGUUGCAAAGGGCUGUACUGUGUUUGGCACAGGGUAUCUAUGUGGCAUCUUGCAGCACAAGCAAGCUCUGGCAAGAAGCAGAGAUUCCAAACUCUCCUGACCCACGGGGCCUGACAAGGCUGUGCUGCAGGCUGGGACUAGAUCUGGUUCAUGUCUGCAUCCCAAAGACUACAAACAAAUUGUAUUUGGAAAGGAAAAUAUUAUGUGUGUUGCCUUCUUCGAAGUUAAAAUCCAGCCCCAUCAGAGAAAGCCAGUUUUAAGUAUUUUUGUAAUUAUGGCUCCAAGUUUAGUUGGUAAUUUAGACCAUUAAAAACACUUUUUCAUAUUAACUUGUCUAAUCCCCACAAGACUCUAUAAAAUGGGUACUAUUUGUACUCCCAGUUUGCCAGUGGUAAAUACCAGGCCCAGAGACACUCAGUAAGUUACGCAAGGUCACACAGCACUUCUUUUGAUAGGCUAUAGCAUGAGGACUUGAAGCCUUCUUAGGACAGACUAAUUUCCCCAUGUGGUAUGAACACACCUUAGGGUUUCCUACCUCCCCACCUUUAUUUGUGCUGGUUACCUGCCUGGAAGCUCUUUCUUCCUUUCAGUUCAUCUAAACCUGUUAUGGGAAGGGAUGUUAGUCCAGGUCCUCUGAGAGAGCCAACAUGGAAAAAAAUAUCCAAGAGAUUUAUUAGGGAAAAUGCCGGGAUGAGAGGCAGGGAGUGAGGAGGUGAGGAGGGAGCCAGUGGAGGCUGGGAGGGAGGGAGGAAGGAGGGAGAAAAGAAGAUAGGGUGGUUGUAGACUGCAGUGGCUUUCUAAGAAAGUUCAGUACGGCUGACAAAAAGUCCUUAUGCUUCCAGAGGAGCCCUGUGUCUCCUGGGAAUGGGCCUGCCUCCUGCCUCCCUGCCUCCCUGCCUCCCUCACUGAUUAACUGGGACCAGCCCCUGGGAAGUGUGGUCUUGACUCAACUGUUAGGAUGAAUCCAUGGUCUGUUGAUUAGGCUCCAUGCCAGAGGCCUGACAGGUACAUUUUCAUGGCUGCAGAGGUAAGGAAAUAUAUUUGCCAUCUAAAACAACAACCGAAAAAAUUAAAUCAGUCAACAAGCUGACUAUAUGCACUUCUAUAGGCAUGAAUUCCAUCAGUGCAAGAAUACAUUCUUCCACUUACAGACACUGGGCCAGGUUGAGGGGGGAGGACAGGAAGGGGAAGAAAAGACCAAAGCUGCAAAGUUUCUACUAUUUUUAUGCUACUAAAGAGAGAGUGGCAAACUCAAG